CAGCAGCUCGAGUGGUGAUCGUUUUUAUUGGGCCUAAAGCGUCCGUAGCCGGUCUGGUAAACCCUUGGGUAAAUCGGGCAGCUUAACUGUCCGAAUUCUGAGGAGACUGCUAGACUUGGGACCGGGAGAGGUCAGAGGUACUCCUAGGGUAGGGGUGAAAUCCUGUAAUCCUAUGAGGACCACCAGUGGCGAAGGCGUCUGACUAGAACGGGUCCGACGGUAAGGGACGAAGCCCUGGGUCACGAACCGGAUUAGAUACCCGCGUAGUCC
rnacentral:rRNA from 1 species